AUUGUGAAACCCCUCAUUCGUUCCUUUCAUCUGGUGAUCCUUCUUCUCUACACCAUCAUAUCACAAACCCUAACCUCUAUCAAACUUUUUCAUGUAUUGGAGAAACACUAAUCAAAUGAUUCAUCUUCACUUUGUUUAUACCUUAAUCCAAUGAUUUCUUCAAUCGGUAUAUUGACCCUCUCUCUCAAUCUUCAUCCGGAUUCUAAACCCAAACCCUAGAUCAAAAUUCGUCUGCCUCUUUAUCUUUCUCAAUCGUCAAUCGUCUGCGACAACGAUCAAUCCAUCUUUAAAUCAUAAUCCGAUUUGAAUAUGGAUUCUUCAGUGCCAAAAUCAAAUUGCCGACGGAAAAUACAGCAGGCAUUGUGGUGGCGUUUUACGUGACAGGAUUGCAUCUGGUGGAAGUUUUACGCCUCACAUGGUUACUGUUAAUCCGGGCGAGGUAUGUUGACUUGAAAUAAAAAUGCAUACCAUAGUCGUUGCGCUUUUAAAUAAUCGUUAGUUAUAUUUGCAGGACGUUACGCUUCCGUAAAUCCAUUGGAAACCCAAAUGGACUCCUCUUUUAGGUCGUCCGAUUCAGAUUUCAACCCGAAGUUUUAUGCUGAUGCGAAAGAGAAGGCAUCAGAACAUGAAGCCUUUAGUGGUAAUCUUUUCUCAGAUGAAAGCAUAAAUGUAAAAAGUGGACGUCAUGAAUCAUUUAUUAUGGGCUAUGCAGAACUAACUGAACCACCCCUGCUUGGUUCCAACCGUUUUGAAUUGGACAAACUCUGGUUUCAUAAAUGAUCAUAACACAAGAUACUGAUCAACUUUGUGUUUUAACAAUUUUGUAUGAUCUUGUAGCUAUGAUGGAGUACUCAUGAACUCUCUUGCAGCAAAGGAUGUCGUUUCAUGCCUUUUGCAGGAACCUUUUUAUUCCGUACCUCUUAUAUGGACUAUUCAUGAAAAAUCACUCGCUACACGGGCUGCAAGAUACGUCUCUAAUGGCCAAGCUGAGUUGAUUGAUGAUUGGAAAGCAAUCUUUAAUCGGGCUACAGUUGUCGUCUUUCCAAAUUAUGCCCUACCGGGUUUUCUGUGGAGAGAGUGUUUGUUUUGAAACAUAUACCGCAAAUGAUUGGUGCUAAUUUUCUUUAUCUGACGUUGCAUUUUUGAGUAUGUAGCUCUGACAUCAAGCACAUGGUUUUAGAGUACUUGCUUGAGGUUUUUAAUUUCUCCUGAUCAUAUGCUUUAUCUCUCUCAAUCCUGUCCGACAACGUUAAAUUGAUCUUCAAGACGCAAUAAUCUUCAAUUGACGCAUAUGAGCAGUUCAUAUCGAAACCCAAUCUUUUACAACUCUGUUCAUGAUAUUCAUUUAUUGGCAUCUGGCUUUCAGUUGCCAAAAUCAUUGGUGAAGGCAUUGGGAAGACGACUCUAACGGGUAUACCGAUCGGGAAGUAAUUUACGGCGAUGGAGAAAAUGUGGAAAACACACUCUGCUUUAGGGGAUUUUGCUUUUUCCUAUUUGUUUUGUUUCGUCCUCAUUGAAAUUCAAGUAAGACUUUAUUGAAAUUCAGGUAAGUCUUUUGUUUAACUGUCAGAAUAUGAGCGGAUCAAGCGGGUCAGAUAGUGAGCUAAAAUGGAUACUUUCUGCAAGGGUAAUGAAGAUUCAGAGUGAAUUAACUUGAAACACUAAUUGGUGUAAAUAAUUUACAUUGAUCAAUUUGAGUAUGUUGUCUUUUGUUUAUACUUCAAGCUAGGGAUGAGCAUGGUACCCGUUCGGUACCGAACCGGUACCGGUACCGGAAAACAGAGAAAAGUGGUACCGAUACGGUACCGGUAUUUACCGGUGUUUUACCCGUAAGUACCGGUACCUUAUCGGUAUCGGUACCGAAAACUGGAGAAAAUGGGUGCCGGUACCGAAUAUUCCGGUUCGGUACUGGUACCCGGUACCAAAUGCUCAUCCCUACUUCAUGCUAUUUUGGCUACAUCAUUUAGUUCUGGUUAGUUUUGCAUUGCUCAGUUUAUGCUUUUGGUUAACUUUUUCCCUAUUUUCCGUGCUUUGUUCAUGUGUUCUCUCGCCAAUACGCAUUGGUUCAUUGUUGAGGUAGUUGAUGCCAACUAAUUUGUAGUUCAGUUCAAACAAGUCCGCCUUCUUGACCAGUGACCACACCUUCAUUGAUGUAAUCCAAGAAUCUUGAAUGAGAUAUUCUGCUUGAAGUGGCUGCAACUGGGUUCUUGGUGCCGGAAGUGUGGAGAAAAUCACAGCAAAACAAGCGGAUGAUGGAUCUCACAGUUGAAAUUGAAGGCAAUAUUGAGACUUUAGAAGAGGCUCUGGAUAAAUUGACAUGUACCGAGAUAGUGGAUGGUGAAAACAAGUAUAAAUGAAGCUAAUGGACGAUAUUCAAGAGUAAGUACGUAUAUUGGUGGUGGGUGUCGGACUACAGGUGGGUUAGGCUGUGAACUUCUCAAAUGUAGUCUACAAGGAAGUUUUUUCCGGCAUUUGAAUAGUUUUCUGUUUUUUUCUUCCAAUGUAUGUAUUUGUACAGAACAUUUCAUUUCAAAGUAAAUAAUAUGGUUUUGGUUGAAGCCCACGUAUUACGCGGGCAUUACCUAG